GUCCCAGGACGUGUCCCUGUGGGUGCCUGGGUAGGGCGAAGGGCACUUGGAAUACUCUCCUCUUCCCAAGACUUCCUGCAAAUCCCUAUCUCAAAUCAGCAGCGGACUCCACAGAGCCCUGCCUAAUACAUGGGGAGAGGCGACCCCACUGUCCCCUAGCUUCCUGCCUGGCUAUACCCAGCUCUCACUCCCACAUCACGCUGGCCCCUGCCUUGAACUCCAGACUCUGAGAUGGAGAACCCUUUUCUUUAUCGAGCACCCAACUUCAAAUAUCCACAAUUCAAAGGCUGAAAGGUUCAUUUUGGCCCACACUUUCAGUCCGUGGUCAGCAGCUCCGAGGCAGCAAGGCCUGGGGAAAGGCAUGGAGGAGAGCCAUAGUCGUCAUGGCAACCGGGAAACCAGAGAGCAGGGAGGAGUGGGAGGAGAUAAACCCUUCCAGGCCACCCCUCAGGGAGCAUCUCUUCCAGUCAAGCCCCACCUCCCAACACCCAGGAUCCAGUCAACUUCCCCAGCCCAGGAGGCUGUGGGGGACACUCAAAUAUAAACCCUAACACCAGCGCUGGAAAGUCCACAGAGCCAACUGAAAGCAACUGCAGCUAAGAAGGCUGCGGAACAUCUCCAGCGCCAUCGGGUGGUCCUCCAGGGUGCGGCCUGCAGGCACACAGACAAGGGUGAUGGAAGGAGUCCCGUCAGGAGGGAAUGGGCGCCCACAGCCCUCCCGGGACCUGCGGAAGGGCCCCUGAGGAAGGAGCAGCGUGGGGAUGGCCCUGAGAGCCCCGUGCAGCAAAGAAGGAAGCAGCAAGAUGCCUCUACGUCCAUCACCUUCCCAGUGACCAGCAGAGGAAGCGGUGACAAUUUCCACAGCAUUUCCACAGGAGUGUGACAGCCCUGUCACCCUGAAGGGCGGAUAACGGGCCAAUGGCAGAGAACUACAGGAAGGUUCCACACUCCAUUUGGGGUUGGAUGUGGGCUCUGAGCCAAAACCGAUGAGGGAGCAGCAUUCAUAGAGCUCAUCAUGAGGUCGUGUGGACUUAACUGUGUUACCUUACAGAUCCCCACAUGUGACUUCUCAAUCCUAGCCUAAUUGGCAUCUGUCCACCCCCAUCCUUCCAUCUAACUACCCAACCGUCUGCAUGUCCACCAUCCAUCCACCCAUUCACC